AUACACAUACAUGUAUUACUUAAUCUUUUCUGAUUUUUAGAAAAACCAAAUCUUUACCUGUAUAAAUAAAUUGUAUAUAUCUUGCAUUACAUAUUUUUAUCAUUCAGUGCAAUACUUUUUUAUAAAUUUUUUAAAAAAAUUUGUGAAGAAAACUGUGUUUUCUCUUUUGCUCUGUGAAAGCAUCUCCUCUGGGACUCAAAAUUAGUAGCUUUUAGCUAGCUGAACGAAGCUUUGCAUUUGCAUGAUGAUGAAGGGCAUCAUCAGAGAUUGAACUAAAAGAAGAACUGGAUUACACACUAGUUUUAGUAGCAUACUCUCCAGACUUAGACUACUCUUAGUGCCGGUUGAAAAUGAGAAGAUAAUUACAGGGAAAGACAAUAAAAGAAAGAAGCAAAGCUUAGGUUGAUCUGAGAUGCAAGUAGUAGUACUAGAAUGAAGUGAAGGGUGUCAAGGUUUUCUUCUAAAAUAAGGGAAGGUAUUGGAGCUACUACUCUCUUCAUGCUCAUCUGAUUCUUGGGUAAUACCACUGGCGCCAGAAGAUGAGGAAUAAGUCUUGUUCUGCGCCAAAAAGUCAUAGAAAACCAUCUUCAACUUCCUCACCUUCCGGUUAUCCACUCUCCCUCUCAAACUCCCCAUCUCCUUCUCCUCCCCAUUUCUACCACUUCUCCUCUUCAAAAAUAUGCGACAUAGAACCCAGUUUUCCAUGGGAACUUCAACCACAGGGCUCUGCACGCGCACACACAAACAAACCAAAAACACUGUAUGAGUAAUUAAUGCAUGCGUGGGGUUAAUUUGAAGUUAAUUUGGUAGCUCUGAAUCCUGACCUGAGACAGAGAGGAAGUGGGUGCGUUAAGGAGGCGAUAUUCAUGCAUGAUCCAGUCAGUUCUAGAUCCAUGAGGUGGCUUUCCUCUGUAGAAAACAAGUGUCUUCUUCAUCCCCACAACUUGGUUCCCUUUUGAAGUUACAAUUUGUUUGUCCAACCCAGUGGCCUUCCAAUAACCUGAAUUGGUGGCUCUGUUGGAGCGGUUGCCAUUAGGAUAUUUGGGCUCUUUGGUGCUGAAAAAGUACCUUUCUUUCUCUAAAUCACCUAAACACAGCACCCAGAAGGGAUUGCAGUUAGACUCAAUUAAUUGGGAAGAAGAGAGAGGGGAAGAAGAGAAUGAUAGGCACCUGGCAAAUCCCAAGGAUCAGACUUGCAAAGGGAAGGAGAAGACCUUCCGCUUUAAGUAUUGCACAACCAAUUCCUCGUCAGUUGGGUGGAAACGGAACCCCGGGGGUAAUCUGAGCUCCCCAUUCUUCACAAAAUUAAGUUUUUCCAUUCCACCACACCACACAACAACCUACUUCUCCUUCUCUGUAUAUGUUUUGAAUAUAGCAGUAUGGUACUAACAGUUUUGUGUGUCCGACUAGAGCAGAGCAGGCCAGUUGGGUGGGUGACAAUUGAAGCACUCGUGGGGGUUCUUAUAACUCCAUUAAAGCGUAGAGGAAAAUAAAGAAAGGGGCUGAAGAAGGGGAAAGGAAAGAAGAAAAAGGAGGGAAAAGGGUGUUAUUAUUAUUGGAUAAAGAAAGCGAAAGGGUAUGGAGUAAGAUGCAGUGUGGCUUCUUUUAUAGAAAUGGGUCUGACAGGAAGGAAGGAGAAGAAUAAGACGACACAUUUGGCGUAAACCAGACUCAACCUUUCUUUUACUUUGACGUUAUAUUAACUAUGGUUUAAGGUUUUUUUUUUAUAUUAUUAUUAUUAUGGUUUGUUUGUGAGAGAAGUUGUUACUCCAGACCAGAGUGGGUGGUGCUAAUAAGAAAACAAAGGCUAGUUCCCUGUGUUGUGGUUGCAAUUUGGAGUUAGAUUGGAGGAGGAUUCCGUUGGGUUUAUCCAAACAAAGCACUUAUCUGUCCCUUCCUUGGAUAAAACAAAACAAGUUCUCCAUUUUUUGUUUCUAACAAACAACUAAAUUUUGAUUUGGUUGGUUUUAAUGUUAUCCUAAAGUGAGGAAGUUUAGAAAGGAAGGUAAAUGAAAAAAAAAGAGGUGUCUGAAGUGAGGUUAUGUGAUGGGGUACAGCUGGAAGUGACCCAAGGGAAGGGAAUGCAAAGAGGCUUUAUCAGUGGCAUGGCACUGAGUUGGUGAAAGUACAGAACUAACCCUCUCUUUCUAUUUCUGUUCUAUCUCUCAACGGGGAACAAAAGAAUAUGAAUGAAUAGAGGAUCUUGUUUUUUAGAACACCUCAGCAAGAGAACCCACUCUUCAUUUGUACGGUUUUCGUAGUAAGUAACUUCUUCACACUUUAGACGCAUCCCAUUCUGUCGGUGUUUCCUUUAAUUCACUAAUAUUAUUCUUAUCUCAUUUUAAUAACUUUCACAAAACUCUUUACUCAAACUAAAUUCAUUUCUUCUAAGAUUAUUUACUAUUUAUUACUUUUAGCUUUGAUUUGGAAUUAAAAAAACAAUUAUCUUUACCUCUUAGAAUAAUUUCACAAUUUUUCUUUUACUCUUCUUUCUCUCGUCCUUGUAAAUACUAAGUUCGGAUUGUAUCUGUAGAAGGCACUCUGACAUAAUGUUCAGUGCAAUUAAUGCGUAAUGAUGACGUAUCUUAUUUUUAAAAUGUGUGAUUAUUUAUAUGAUUAUCAUGAAUGAUUUCUUAUUGGAUCAAUUAAGAUUUUGAAUCAUAAUUAAAUAUGCAUUACAUAAUUUAAUCACCGUUUGAUCUUGUUAAUCUUCUGUAAGACUUAAUUAAUCUGAUUACGUGAAUCGAUUUUGACUGAGUUCCACUUGUCAUUUGGAGCCGUUACAAUCCGUAAGGUUGUCAUUAUUAAAUGCAAUUUAGGUCCACGCUUGUUCAAGAUUUUUUUAGAUCGCAAAUAGUGAAUUAUGUUUCUGGGACAGUUUUGAAAAUUGAAUUGAUUGUAUUUAUGAAUUUCUUGUGAUACCACAUUCAUUUGAGGAGACGUGAACGUAAACAUACACUUGCGAAAUCAUUUUCAAAUCAAUUAAAAUAUUCUGUUAGCUUUUCAAUAACUUAAGGGUCUAAAUCACGCUGAAAUGGACUAACCAUACAAAUUGGCAUAUAUUCUUAUUAAAGGUACAUGCAUAAAAACUAUGGCCAUAUAAAACCAAUGAGAAAAUCUAUUCUAUCCCAGACAGACAUCAUCCUAUGUAUUGCAGUCUUAAUUCUCAUAAUAUAUUUCUGUGUGGGCCUAAUUUCUUUUUAUUUUCCCACCAAAUAAUGGAAACGUCCACGUUACUUGGGAGUGUAGAACAACUGUUUUUAAUUUAAGUACUAGUCAAACACUCCAUAACUAAGUUCAUUUUAUUUAUUUAUUUACUAUACUCUGUCGGGAAAAUUACAAGUUGAUUAAUUCCUUUAUUUCACAAACUAUUGUUUAUCAGGGAGUCUGAUGGUAGAGAAUUUAUUAAUUAAAUUUUUUUAUUUGGGUAGUAUAUUGAUAGAGUUCGCACUAUAAAAAGAUUCAUCAUCUUGUUUAGGUCGAUCGACAUAAUCAAUAACAAAAUUGAUUGAUAAUUCAAUAUUAGUUAAUUUGUCUUUAUUAGGUCUAUUAAUGACAAAUGGUCCACAAUAAUAAUAUAAAUAAGCAUAGAUUAAAAAAAAAAAAAAAUAAGAGAAGUGAUGUAAUAGUUUUUUUAUUCUCACCCGUUCAAGAAUAGAUAUGUCAAUAAAAAUAAUGUAUGAUUGUGUUGAUAUUCUCAUAGAUUGAGGCAUAUUACUUCUAGUUUUGUUUUAUUUAUUAGUAAUCAUCUGACUAAUUACUUUUAAUCAUACACAUUUUAAAAAAAUAUUGAUUAAAAAUAUAACUUGAGAGGUUGAAACAUAAAGUGUUAUUUUUGUUAGAUCACCCUAACGUUGACAUGAAACAUCCAUCUAUUUUACCAGUGUCUAAUAAUAAUUUAUGCAUAGUUACAAUUGACAAAAAUGUUUUUUAAUUAGAUUUAUUUCACAAAUUCAACGUUUUAACGAAUUUUUAUUUGUAACAAGACUCCGGCUUUAAUUUCCUUUUAUUUCAACAAAAAGAUAUUCUAAAAAAACUAGGUAUCAUUUCAUAUCAAAGGUAAGAGUACAAAUAUGAUAAAAUAUGUUUUUUUAAUCAUUCUAAAACAUCUAAAGUUUAGUUAUAUUUUAAAAACAUUGUUGUUUUUAUUCCUCCUACUUUUGAUUCUUUAAACGUUGUCUAAAUAAUAUAUUGUCUUUUAUAAAACGUUAUUUAAAUUUGAAGGAUAAAAUUAUGCUUUUCAAAAUUAAAGUGACUGAAAAUAAGACAAAAGGAGUUAGAAGGGCUAAUAUAUCGAAUUUAGUUGUUCUUUUUAAGAAGAAACCAAUAAAGAUACUUUACUCCUUUUUAUUUAAAAACUAAUUUGUUGACUAUUCAGGUAACAUAUGGACCUGCAGUAUAAGAUUUUUUUUUUAUUGUUGUUAUAAAAGCAACUUAUAGUUGACCGGUUAGUUUUAAAAGACAAUGAAAUAUGAAGAAUAUUAAAAAAUUAUACUAAAAUCUAAAUUUUUGGCAUAUUAAAAUUAAAAGUUAUGGUAAUGAUUUUUGCAUACUCAUCAAAGGAAAAAACAUAAAUUUAUUUUGAAUGUGUGUUUUGUUUGUGAAGUCUCUUUUAGAGUAUGGGAUUACCAUUGAUGUCAAUUGUUUAAAAUAUUACUUUGUCUCUUUCAAGAGAGACAAUUCUUUUAUGUGUCAAUCGAACAAAUCAUGUAAUAAUAAAGAGAGAUGAUAAGUAAAAAAAAAAAAAACACUCCAUUUUAGAGUUCAAUUUAAACAACUAAAAACUGUACACGUUGCUCUCUAUUUGUUCCACAGUACGUUAAAAAAGGAAUUGUGUUAAAUGUUUAAUUAAUAAUAUCGCAGGUGACAUCUGCACACCUUCAAUAAUUGAAUUUUGACUAGUUUUCUCAGUAUUUUUGGAUUUCUUAUUUGUCUUAAAAAAAGGCAAAGUAAGUUGUGAUUGUGUUAUAAUGAAACGCAUAAUAAGUGUAGAGAAGUAUGAAAAAAGAUAAGGUGUUUGUUUAGUGAUUAGUAGUAUUGGAAUGAAUUAUUUUGAAAAGUAGUUUGAUAGAGAGAGAUGUAUAAUAAAAAAAUGAUAAUGAGAUGAGAAGAAAGGUGGGUGAAAGAAUAAAGGUAAGGGUCCCAGUUGGUUCGAAAACCAGGGGCAACCACGUAGGAUUAAGGGUAGAUGACAAAUAUGGUACCUUCAAGUGAUGCCCCAUUUCAAGAUUUCCACGAUCUUCUUGUCUCACUGUUUCCAUCUAAUCAUGCAAUACAAUGCAGUGUAUUUCCAAACAGGAUUCUAAUUAAAACAACCAUUUUCAGUUCUUCUAUUUACAUCUCACUCCUUCUAUUCGGACAAAAUUUGUUAUUUUUGUUUUUCCACUUUUUUUUCUCAUUCAAAUAUGUUCAGUUUUUUGUUCUUUCUCCGACUUAGUUUUGGGUGUGACAUUCUCUGACUAAGUGGCCUUUAAAGUGAUGUUUUAUACAACUAAAUCGUUAUCGGUACAUAAAAUAAUUGAGAGAUGAGCAAUAAUUUUAUGAGUUGCAUGAUUAUAACACCGUCCUAGUUUAAUCUGCAAAUUGCUUAAAGUUUUUAUUUAAUUUUGUAAAAGGUACAAAUUGGAUGGGUUGUGGCAGUGGUGCAGGACAGUGUUGUAUGCAUGAGGUGAAGAAAUGUAAGCAAUAGGGAAACGUAGCUGUCAUGCUUUCUAUAUAGCUCAGAACUAGACGUGUUAAAACACUCAUGGUUUCUGCACAGAAUGCUAUAAAACAAACUACACUUAAUUACCAUCAUCAUCAUCUGAAACUACAACCAAUUUCAUUCUAAUAAACUCUUAAGCAUAUUCAUGAUAGGCUCUGUAUUUGCCAUUCAAAAAAUGCUUCCAAUUUCUGCAUUUCUUAUUCAAUAUAUAUACAUAUAUUGUAGUUGGUUAUUAAGAUCACAGAUAACCCUCCUCUCUCUAUCCGACAAGAAUGACCAUUCAUUUUGCAACCUCUUCUUUUCCUAAACAAAAGGAACAAACUAGUGCAAAGGUUGUGUUCUUAUUUUAUGUUUCUUCUCCUGAAAACGGUCUUUAAAAUAUACAUGUAUUUUGGACCUCUUUUCUUAUGCUCUUUCCAUGGAUUCUUUCUCUUUUGCUCUGUCAAAGCAUCUCCUUCAAGACUCAAAAUUAGUAGCUUUUAGCUAGCUAAAAGAAGCACUGCCUUUGCAUUUGCAUGAUGAUGAAGGGCAUCAUCAGAGAUUGAACUAAAAAGAAAAACUGGAUUGCACACUAGUUUUAGUAGCAUACUCUUCAGACUUAGACUAGCCUUGGUGCCGGUUGAAAAUGAGAAGAUAAUUACAGAGAAAGACAAUAAAAGAAAGAGGCAAAGCUUAGGCUGAUAUGAGAUGAGAUGGUUGCAAAACAAGUAGUGGCACUAGAAUUCAAGUGAAGGGUGUCAAGGUUUUCUUCUAAUAUAAGGGAAGGUGUUGGAGCUACUACUCUCUUCAUGCUCAUCUGAUUCAUUGGUAACCCCACUGGCGCCAGAAUUUGAGGAAUCGCUCUUGUUCUGCGCCAUGAAGUUAUAGAAAACCAUCUUCGACUUUCUCACCAUCCCCUUAUCCACUCUGCCUCGCAAACUCUCCAUCUCCUUCUCCUCCCCGUUUCUACUACCACUUCUCCUCUUCAAAAAUAUGCGACACAGAACCCAAUUUUCCAUGGGAACUUCAACCACAGGGCUCUGCACGCGCACACACAAACAAACCAAAAACACUGUGUGAGUAAUUAAUGCAUGCGUGGGGAUAAUUUGAGGUUAAUUUGGUAGCUCUGAAUCCUCACCUGAGACAGAGAGGAAGUGGGCGCGUUAAGAAGGCGAUAUUCAUGCAUGAUCCAGUCAGUUCUAGAUCCAUGAG
rnacentral:lncRNA from 1 species